rnacentral:rRNA from 1 species
AGGGCCAUCGCUCAACGGAUAAAAGCUACCCCGGGGAUAACAGGCUUAUCUCCCCCAAGAGUUCACAUCGACGGGGAGGUUUGGCACCUCGAUGUCGGCUCAUCGCAUCCUGGGGCUGUAGUCGGUCCCAAGGGUUGGGCUGUUCGCCCAUUAAAGCGGUACGCGAGCUGGGUUCAGAACGUCGUGAGACAGUUCGGUCCCUAUCCGUCGUGGGCGUAGGAAAUUUGAGAGGAGCUGUCCUUAGUACGAGAGGACCGGGAUGGACAUACCUCUGGUGUACCAGUUGUCGUGCCAACGGCAUAGCUGGGUAGCUAUGUAUGGACGGGAUAAGUGCUGAAAGCAUCUAAGCAUGAAGCCCCCCUCAAGAUGAGAUUUCCCAACUUCGGUUAUAAGAUCCCUCGAAGAUGACGAGGUUAAUAGGUUCGAGGUGGAAGCGUGGUGACACGUGGAGCUGACGAAUACUAAUCGAUUGAAGACUUAAUCAA